rnacentral:rRNA from 1 species
GGAGAAAGCAGGGGAUCGCAAGACCUUGCGCUUUUGGAGCGGCCGAUGUCUGAUUAGCUUGUUGGUAAGGUAAAAGCUUACCAAGGCUUCGAUCAGUAGCUGGUCUGAGAGGACGACCAGCCACACUGGGACUGAGACACGGCCCAGACUCCUACGGGAGGCAGCAGUGGGGAAUUUUGGACAACGGGGGCAACCCUGAUCCAGCCAUGCCGCGUGAGUGAAGAAGGCCUUCGGGUUGUAAAGCUCUUUCAGCCGGAACGAAACGGUUACGGUUAAUACCCGUGACUACUGACGGUACCGGAAGAAGAAGCACCGGCUAACUACGUGCCAGCAGCCGCGGUAAUACGUAGGGUGCGAGCGUUAAUCGGAAUUACUGGGCGUAAAGCGUGCGCAGGUGGUUUUGUAAGUCAGAUGUGAAAUCCCCGGGCUCAACCUGGGAACUGCGUUUGAAACUACAAGGCUAG